rnacentral:rRNA from 1 species
AUUGAACGCUGGCGGCAUGCUUUACACAUGCAAGUCGAACGGUAACAGGCCGCAAGGUGCUGACGAGUGGCGAACGGGUGAGUAAUGCAUCGGAACGUGCACAGUCGUGGGGGAUAACUACUCGAAAGAGUAGCUAAUACCGCAUACGAUCUAUGGAUGAAAGCGGGGGACCGAAAGGCCUCGCGCGAUUGGAGCGGCCGAUGUCAGAUUAGGUAGUUGGUGGGGUAAAGGCUCACCAAGCCAACGAUCUGUAGCUGGUCUGAGAGGACGACCAGCCACACUGGGACUGAGACACGGCCCAGACUCCUACGGGAGGCAGCAGUGGGGAAUUUUGGACAAUGGGCGCAAGCCUGAUCCAGCAAUGCCGCGUGCAGGAAGAAGGCCUUCGGGUUGUAAACUGCUUUUGUACGGAACGAAACGGCUCUGGUUAAUACCCGGGGCUAAUGACGGUACCGUAAGAAUAAGCACCGGCUAACUACGUG